AGUAAAAAAGUCAACUAUUCAAAAAACACUAAACGUCUUUAUCGGUGUCUGUCUCUCUGAUCUGUUCAUCUUCCUCGGUAUCCAUAAUCAUUAAAGUAAAAGAAAAAGCUAUACAAAUCCAGAGUAAACACAGAGAUUUAUGUUGAAUUUGAUACUCGAUCUAUCGACUAAAGCUUGCACCCUUUGAUUUAACCAAGAAGAAGAAGAAGACAUUUGUCAUUCAGGAUGUCAUCGAGGACUCAGCUGAGUCAUACGGGAGACAUAUUAUCCGUUGUCUGAUUGUUCAAGAAGAGUUUGUGUUGUGAAACAUAUUUGUUUCUUUUCAUCAGUUGCUUUGUUUAAUCUUUUUUCCUGCAAAUAAUGAUGGCUUUGACAGUUCAUAUACGGGAGCUAAGAAGUAAAAGAAGAAGAAGCCAGUUGAACGAAGAUCAUUGAAUAAAGAAAAUGUCGAUGCUCCCGAAGAUUUGGAGGAGCAUCCUAAUGACGAGGAAGAGGUGGAGGGAAUUGAUCUGCACCAGCAACGUUACCGUGGGAGGGAAGUGACAUGGAUUACUUAUACGACGAGCUUUAGCAUGUCAAAAUCACAAUGCAGUGGGUGUUGUAAGUGAAAUCACUAAGAUUGCAAUGUGUCAGGACAUCAAAAGCAUCUAAGCUUAUGAUUGUGAAUGAAAAGCACAAGCAGGGAACAUAUGUGUAGCUGCGUUUGACUCGACAUGUAGCGGUAUCUGCAGAUCUACUGAUCCCAUUGUGGAGGUUAACAUGCAAUGUGUUGACCUGGAAAUCAUUAUUUGGAAGCUACAUUUCGAGGUCUUUCCUCAACAUAUAAAUAGACCAUUGACAGAGUUUGAUAUUUAUAAUACUCAGUGAUCAUGGAGUCUGCAGAAAACAGUCUUUUUGCAUGUUAUAUAUGGAACCAAGAGAUAUAUCCUUUGUAUGAUGAUUGUAUUAUGAUAGCUACUAACAUAGAAGAUGACUAGAGAAAGAGAAAUGAGUAUGAAUCUCGUAUAUGGGUAGCUUUUGUAAGCACAUUUGGGUUUAUUAACAGUUGUGACAAGCAAUUAUGUUUAUAGUAAA